rnacentral:lncRNA from 1 species
AAACUAGAGGCUCUAAAGAGCCUGUGUCGCUCACCUUGGUCUAUUUGAAUAUUAGGUCUAUGUGAAUAUUAAACAAGGGACACAUAUGGAUUUAUGACAAAAUUGUGUUUUGGUGAUGGUGAUGUGUUUGUAGAUCUAAAUUUACUAAACAUUCUUGCUACUUACAAUUAUCUCAAUCUAUAAUGAACUUGGACCAGUAGUUUCAGUGGAAAUUAUUAGUGAAAAUCUACAAAUUUUAUGAAAAUUAUUAAAAAUUGACUAUGAAGGGCAAUAACUCCUUAGGGGUCAAUUGACCAUUUUGGUAAUGUUGACUUAUUUUUAGGUCUUACUUUGCUGUACAUUAUUGCUGUUUACAGUUUAUCUCUAUCUAUAA